rnacentral:tRNA from 1 species
GGGCCCGUAGCUCAACGGCAGAGCAGGGGACUCAUAAUCCCUUGGUUGCAGGUUCGAAUCCUGCCGGGCCCA